rnacentral:rRNA from 1 species
GACGAACGCUGGCGGCGUGCCUAAUACAUGCAAGUCGAACGAGGUGCUCCUCGGUGGCAACACCUUGGGGUUACCUAGUGGCGAACGGGUGAGUGACACGUGAGGAACCUGCCCCGAAGACCGGGAUAACCAGAGGAAACCCUGGCUAAUACCGGAUGCCCCCACCGGAUCACAUGGUCUGGUGAGGAAAUGGAUUCCGCUUCGGGAGGGCCUCGCGGCCUAUCAGCUUGUUGGUGGGGUAACGGCCUACCAAGGCGUCGACGGGUAGCUGGUCUGAGAGGACGAUCAGCCACACUGGGACUGAGACACGGCCCAGACUCCUACGGGAGGCAGCAGUAGGGAAUCUUGCGCAAUGGGCGAAAGCCUGACGCAGCAACGCCGCGUGCGGGAUGAAGGCCUUCGGGUUGUAAACCGCUUUCAGCAGGGACGAAAUUGACGGUACCUGCAGAAGAAGCCCCGGCCAACUACGUGCCAGCAGCCGCAGUAACAC